rnacentral:rRNA from 1 species
AACGCGAAGAACCUUACCUGGGCUCGAAAUGUAGUGGAAUCGGGUGGAAACAUCCGCGUCUCGCAAGAGACUGCUAUAUAGGUGCUGCAUGGCUGUCGUCAGCUCGUGUCGUGAGAUGUUGGGUUAAGUCCCGCAACGAGCGCAACCCUUAUCCCUAGUUGCCAUCGGGUCAAGCCGGGCACUCUAGUGAAACCGCUUCGGAUAACGGAGAGGAAGGUGGGGAUGACGUCAAGUCCUCAUGGCCUUUAUGUCCAGGGCUACACACGUGCUACAAUGGCCGGUACAAACCGUCCCAAACCCGCGAGGGGGAGGCAAUCGGAAAAAGCCGGCCUCAGUUCGGAUUGGAGUCUGCAACUCGACUCCAUGAAGCUGGAAUCGCUAGUAAUCGCGGAUCAGAACGCCGCGGUGAAUACGUUCCCGGGCCUUGUACACACCGGUACUA